rnacentral:rRNA from 1 species
AACGAACGCUGGCGGCGUGCUUAACACAUGCAAGUCGAACGGUAAGGCCCCUCGGGGUACACGAGUGGCGAACGGGUGAGUAACACGUGGGUGAUCUGCCCUGCACUUCGGGAUAAGCCUGGGAAACUGGGUCUAAUACCGGAUAGGACUCCUGGCUUCAUGGUUGGGGGUGGAAAGCUUUUGCGGUAUGGGAUGGGCCCGCGGCCUAUCAGCUUGUUUGUGGGGGAAUGGCCUACCAAGGCGACGACGGGUAGCCGGCCUGAGAGGGUGACCGGUCACACUGGGACUGAGAAACGGCCCAGACUACUACGGGAGGCAGCAGUGGGGAAUAGUGCACAAUGGGCGCAAGCCGGAUGCAGCGACGCCGCGUGAGGGAUGACGGCCUUCGGGUUGUAAACCUCUUUCAGCUAUGGCGAAGCGCAAGUGACGGUAGUAGCAGAAGAAGGACCGGCCAACUACGUGCCAGCCGCCGCGGUAA